AUUGAACGCUGGCGGCAUGCCUUACACAUGCAAGUCGAACGGUAACGCGGGGCAACCUGGCGACGAGUGGCGAACGGGUGAGUAAUGCAUCGGGACGUGCCCAGUAGUGGGGGAUAGCUCGGCGAAAGCCGGAUUAAUACCGCAUACGACCUACGGGUGAAAGGGGGGGAUCGCAAGACCUCUCGCUAUUGGAGCGGCAGAGGUCAGAUUAGGUAGUUGGUGGGGUAAAGGCAUACCAAGCCAACGAUCUGUAGCUGGUCUGAGAGGACGACCGGCCACACGGGGACUGAGACACGGCCCAGACUCCUACGGGAGGCAGCAGUGGGGAAUGUUGGACAAUGGGGGCAACCCUGAUCCAUCAAUGCCGCGUGCAGGAAGAAGGCCUUCGGGUUGUAAACUGCUUUUGUACGGAACGAAACGGUCUGGGUUAAUACCCUGGGCUAAUGACGGUACCGUAAGAAUAAGCACCGGCUAACUACGUGCCAGCCGCCGCCGUAAAAC
rnacentral:rRNA from 1 species